CUGGGCAGCCUGUUCCAGGGCCUAACCACUCUCCUAGUGAAGAACUUCCCCCUAACAUCCAACACGGGGAGCUGUUGCGAGAUACGCCCUUAUCCUUGGCGGCUAUUGGUGCUCCCUAAGCACACAGAGUUAAGCUGUGUGAGGAGCUCCCGAGACACAAAGCUGGCACUACAAUGAGACCCGCCAGCUCGAUCAGCACUGUAAGGGGUUUAUAGAUACAUACAUUUAUAAAUAAGGAGGUGAGUUGCGUCAUAGACCCAGGUGGAGUCCUGGAUGCGUCAUAAGAGCACACUGCCAGCAGAGGGAGCCCUGCGACCCGCAACAGGGUUCGGCCCGAGAGGCUUCAGCUACAGAAGUAACUGAAGAAUGAGAUUUCUGAACUUAAAGGAAAGAUGUUUAGAUCACUCACUUAAACUCUUCUGGCUAUCUGUCUAAAACAAGCCACACAGCAUCAGUUCACUGGGAUUAGGACUACUCUGAAUAACAUGCUCUGGUCCAGCAUGAAGGAAGACAACUUUAAUGAGUUAAGAGGCCUCAAGAGCAGACCACAGGAAUUUCAAGAGUGAAGCUGAAUGAAACCAUGGAAAUUUAUCAGCAAUGACAGGGGGCCCAAGGAGCUGGGAGGAGACAGAACCAGGAGAGCUGACACAAAUUGGCCAAAGGAAUAUUCCAUACCAUAUGACAUCAUGAAGAAGGGAAGUUUGGAAGGGGUGGGAGUUCAGCUCUUCCUCUGAUUUCCAUUGUUUGGGGGCUACCUGGAUAUUGGCCAGCGUCAUUCAAACUUGCAUGCUAUACAUAGGUCACUCUGAAAGUAAUGCUUCAUAUGUAUUCCCAUGGAAACUACAACUGCAAAGAACACAAUAUCACUACUUGUUAGAGCAAAUUCUCAGCUACAAAGCACUACCUUUCAACACAGUCUCCACCAUUAGCUGUGUAUUUUUGCCCAUGAUGAACAAGAGCCUGCACACUAUGUUUUUAAAAAUCUGCAUGGCCAUCUGGAAUGUGGCAUGUCUUUUAAACAUUCAGCAAGCGCUGAUGAACAUCAGUGGGUGCUAUAUUUUUCACAUAGAGCAAUUCAGUUCCACACCUUUGAUGCAUGUGCACUUCCACAUCAGAUGCCAUUUUGUCAGAUUGAUUUUUCACUGCCGUCUGGCACAGGGCAAUAAAAUGUAACAGAAUACUGAUGGGAAGAUUCAGCCUCUACUGCCAUGCCACCUACAUCCGCCACUGACGUCACACGCCAGCAUCAUAAAAUAGGACACAUUACUUUCAGAACAGCUGUCAUAGAAUGCCAGCAUUCAGGUAUCUGAAUUCCUGUGGUCUAAUCCUGCAAAUGCUGAAGUCAACAGUAUUUCAUGGCAAGCUUGACUGUUUUCUCAAUUACUUUCCUGAAAAUAACCACUAGAUGUCUUCAAAUUUCUUUCCUGUGUCUUGACAUAAUUUAGAUAAAGAAAGCAUUUAAAGGGUUAACAACUUGAAAUCUAUUUGACAUUAAAGAAAAGUUUGAAAAUUACCACAAGUCACUUGGGUAUUAAACUCGCCUUCCCGUUUUCUUUCCAGUAUGUCCUGUUUCACCAUCAUGUUUGAUGUGUUUUUGUCUCCUUUCUAGCUAUGGAAAGACUUAAAUAAACUGUGCAAGGCCUCAUUGGAUGUAAGCAUUAGAAAUGACUGAAAAAAAAGUGUUUUCCCAUUUACUAAAAAUGUAAAUUGACAAGGACAAUAAUUGCUUUUCCUCAAACCCUUUCCAGUUCUGGUUACUGAAGAUGCCAUUUCUAACAGCAGUAGGCAAACAGUUUUUGAAGACAAAGUAUGACUUGAAGCUGAUGUCAAUUUUUUCGGCACAACUUGUUCAAAUAUGUAGACUAACAUUUAAUGUUAAACGUGUAAGUGGUCCAACUGAUUUCUGUUUGAAUAGAGAUCUAAAUGAAGAACUCUGAUUCAUGACUCAAACCACACUCAUGAAAGUGAACUAAGCACUUUCUGGAAAAAUGAAAUAACAUAAAUCUUGUCUAAUGCUCCUAUUAUUUUUAAAGUAGGAGACAGAAGCUGAUUUAUUACUUCAAGCUAAGUAUUAGAAAUGGGAAACUCAUUAACAGUCAGUUCUUAUAUAUUUUCAAGUAUUUCUUAAAUGGAUGCAAGCUUAGUGUUUCACAAGAAUAGCUGUCUUAUAUGGGGACUUCUUAAUCACAGCAUAAAGGCAGAGUAUAAAGACCUCAGAGGCAGGAGGUCAAAUGCUAAAAUGUGACCCUUAAUUUCCCCUCCAAAUGUUUACUUCUCAUUCCAGGCUCAAAAAUCUUAAAAAAUAACUAUGGAACCACUUAUUCAGUUCUGGAAAGCAAUAGCACAAUACCAAGGAUGGAAAGUUAAGUUCUCACCUGCCCAACGACUUUCCAUAAGUCUCCAACACUUCACUUCCACUUAAAGUCCCAAAAUAGGGGUUAAGUAAGACUUAAGUGGAACACAGGCUUUGGGCUGGCCCUCUGUUCUGGGGCGAGUUCACCAUAAUGCAUAAAUAAAUGGGAAAAUAUAUAUAUUUCACUAAGCAAAUAUAUUUUGUGGCUAUAUUUUCAGUGCCAGACCUAAUGUGAAAUUACAACUACUGAGUGAUUCACAAGGGCCAUUUGAGCAGGGUUUCUUUUCUGGCACUUUGUAAAUAGUUCCUUUUGUAUUUAAUGUCUCUCUUUUUUUUUAAGUCCUAUAAGUCAAGAAACAGUGCAUAUAAAUUUAUCUAUGUUACUUUUCCAGUGAAAGACUUGUAUUCUGUAAUUUUAUUAAUUAUAUUUAUUCAUUUAAUCAUGACAAAAGCAAAAUGCUUCCUCUCUUCUACUGAAAAUGAAAAUAAGUUGUAGCAAAUUAAUUCCACUCUAGAAUGUGCUGUCUAAACUGGCUUUUUUAUUUUGAAUCUGGAUCACAUAUUCCCACACAAUUCAUCUUUAAUCUAGCAUUUAAAUAAGCAUAAACAUAAUCUUCAAUAUUUAAUUGUGCUUUGAUCUGAUGACAUCAUAGGUGGUGUGUCAUAAUUUUUAUACUUGUUUGUUAGCUAGCAUGAUUUCUAUUCCCUAUGGAUAUCCCCAACUCAGUGUUUCUUCCCAGUUGCCAUAAAUUUAAAGCCUGUUUUCUAAAUUCUUCCUAUUAACAGCAGUAAGAGUGGAAAUGAGUUUCAAACAAACGCCUACUCGUGUUAUCACAAGUACCAUAAGUUACACUGAAACAAAAGAAGGCAGAAAGAUGUUAACUAAAAGUAGCUAAACCACAUUUUGUUUUCUACCUGGCCUCUAAGGUUUACCGAUUGUAUUUUAAUUAACGUACUGUGAUUGCCUGUGCAUUUACCACCUUGGGCAAACAAUAAGUAUUAACAGCAUAUUCUCUUUGCAGAUGCUCCAUACUAUCUGCUGAUUAGUUUAUCUUCAGGCCAAAAAUUCCUUGUGGGAGUUGAAAUUACAGCUUUUGAGGGAUUAAAGAUAUAAAUUGCUAGUAAGUGAUUUCUAACUGUUUCUCAACUGAUGUUUUCCUCAGUCUACAGUAUUUGCUGCUUUAGACAUGGUUUCCAAAAUAGUCAGGCACAGACCUAACUUUACUUCCAAGAAUAAAUGCCAGAAUUACUUAAUCACAUUUACAACUUCGUUAAUGUGGAUAACAUUCCUAACCUUCCUGAAUGCUUUUUGAGUCAGGAAGUUAAAAUAUUUUGGGAUGAUCUUAAUACAUGCAGUUAUCAAGAAAGGCAAAAGGAUUUGAAGACUAUUUAUAAUCAAGACAACUAUGGAGAUCAUUAAACUUACAAGAAAGCUUUCCAAGAUUUCAUAAAAAUGAAUUUUUUUUCUGCAUAUCUUUCUCAGAAAAGCUCUAUAAGCAUCUAAAAAAAGUAAGUGGGAGAAAAUAUUCUGAUCCCUGUAUUAACAACUCUGCUUCCUGUGGCUUUCAAGCCAUGGGCCGCAGAAUCAGUGGGUCUGCAGUCCUCUUGUAAAUGCUUCAGAUAAAAUAACUUAGAAAAGCAAGUCCACUUUCAGCAUAUCUGAACAAUCUGUGUAGGAUUCUGUGCUUCCAUGGGAAACUUCUAAGGGGUCCUUCAGUCAGAGAGGUUUAAAAACCGCCGCCUAUUUUCCAUGGUCUCUAUAGGCAUAAGUAUGGCUCAUACUUGUAUGUUCUUAGAAAAAACUACUGACAUAUGAAAGAACACUAAUCUUAAGAAAAGCUAUAGGCCAAAACACGUUUCAGUACAGAAAAUUGUAUAUAGCUCUAUCUCUGAUAAUUGGAAUUGCCAUAUAGUUGCUCUAAAAAUUCCUUUCUUUUCAGUUAAAAGAAAUGAAACACAUUACCAAAGUAAUAGCAUAAUGAUAGAUAAUCCUUAUGAGAUUAAGCAUCAGAUAUCCAGCUCAAAAAGAAAUACGUGUCUGAGAUGCCCUCUAAACACAGAGAUUAGAAGGCAAACAUCCGAAGCACACCAUGCAGCAUACCACAGACUGACCGUCCAACAACUAUCAUGAUGACAAAAAAACCCCAAACUGUACUUAUUUUGAAAGUAAUAAAAGUAAUUGAUAUAUUCAAGCUGUGCAAUCUCUGAAUUCCAGCAACGUACAAGUUCCCAGUAAAUACCACGUCUGGAAGUGCCAUGCUGUUUAGGGCCUUUAUUUUUCAAAAAAACAACUCCACCUUAAUUCAUUUGUAAAUAUUUUGCAGUCCUGCUUAAUAAGCCAAGAUGUAUUUAUAACAAAAUAACUUAUUUCCAGUGAAAGGCAUACUUGGUUUACCAUACAUUUAGGAAACCUGACAAAAACUGUCUGGAACAAUGCCUCUAACCAAGAGAAGAAUUUUUACACUGGUUGUUUUGGAAGUCCGCUGUGUGUGAUCGCUAAGAGAACCGAAAGAGAAUCGCUCUUGUAUCUGUAAGAGUAGGGACAAGCAAAAGUCAGAAAUGCAGAAGUAUUCCACAGAGAGAUGGAAUACAUAUCAAGUUUGAGCGUGAUGAUGCAUGGAUCGUUUUUUAAGGGAACAUAACGUGAUAAAUCUUUAGGAAGAUGAAAAGGGUAAUGGAUUCGGCCAUAAAAGCCAUGCAGUUUUGUGACAAUAGCAUCUAAUUAUACUUAAUAGCUUCUGAGAGCUACAAAGAGCCUUUAACAACAGUAUGGGUAAAUACAAGAUAGUCUAAAAGAAGUAGUUUUAAUUGAAAAUUUUCUGCUUUCUAGGAAGCAAAAAUGUGCUAUGCAGUUCCAGAGCUUUGAAAGGAAAAUACAGCAAAAAAGGGAGGAAUAAAACAAACUGCUUAAACAUGGUAGUACUCAGGCAUUUAGGAAGUCUCGAACCCCUAAGUGCGCAGUAAGACACUCUCUGUACAGCAGGUUUACCAGCCAGAAGACUGAUUCCCUAAGUGAGCCAAAUUCAUCUCUGAUUAAACAUCUCUGAGAGUGCUGAUGACAUAGUUCCCCUUUGCUGAUCUGUACUUUGAUCAUACUGUAACACUUGGUGGAUAAUAGCUAUUUAUAUAAUCUCUGUAUGUCACUUAUCUCCCCAGUGCAAAAUAAAGUAAUAAAUAGGUGAUUCUGUAGCUUCGCACACAUGGGAUCAGUUUUUGUUUGCAUUCUGGAAGCAGGGAUAAAUGUAAAGCUAUUAGUCUGUACUGCAGGUUUGUGUGAAUGCAGCCUUGUGCUGUACAGGUGGAAGUUGAUCGUCACAGCUUUAGGACAGAAUUUGCCAGAGCACCCAGCCACGGGAGACUGGGGAAAGGCAGUGAUGUGCCCUGCCUCAGUCUCUGUCUACCACAAGGCUCUGCAGGAUCAAAAGACAAGAUCUAAAACCUUUGUACACAAUUUAUGUUCCAGGACACAUUUCAAGGGAGAGGGCAAAAGCUGGUGUAAAUUUGUUAAACAGAUGACCCGCAUAUCCCUUCUCCUAUCACUCUCCCAAUUGUCACACCCACAUUAAAAACAACAGUUAAUACAAAUCAAUACAAUAGUAAAAUGAAUAGCAUCAAAUUCUUUGUUUUCAUGUGCUGUUCUUCUAGAACAACGUGUAAUUUAAAUGACAAAAAAAAUCAGACUGACCUAUGCAAAAUGGAGUAGUAAUCUCCAGUUCCAUGAAUAUAUUGGCUCAUGCAACUCCCAUAUGUAAAAAAUCAAACCUGCAGUGUAAGCCCACCGACAGUAUUUAGUUUAUAAGUAGUGACUGUACACCUAGCUCUACAAACUACUUAUUUUGGUAGUAAUUAACAAAGCACGGCAGAAAUGAAUUCAUUAUAGUACAUAUAGGUAUAUACAUUAUUUGAUACCUUGCAUAAAACAAAAUUAGGUUCUGAUUCAAAGCCAAUUAUCAUCAGUAGAAAGGGCAUAAAUGGUUAAGCUGGUGAUCUGUGUGCAAAUACUUGAAAAAGAGAUACAGAAAGUUUUGCCAGUAGCGAUCCUGCCUAGCAGUGUGAAGUAGAACGCGCCCCUGUGCUCUGUGAGAGACCACGUUAACUAACAUCGAGCACUGCUGCUUUCAGGACCCGUGAGGAAUUUGCAUAUUAUGAAGCAAAACAAAACAGAGAGAAGUAAAUUAAGAUUAGAAAACAGUCAAAAUACGCUCAAGGAAUGGUUUUUUGCCUUGACAGAAUAAGUUUACUGCUAAGUAACCAAAGCACUCAGAGCACAGUCUGUUCCUGUAUUGCUGUUGUACAAAGGUUCAACUAACACAAAGCGUAACAUUAAAUGUUAGUGGCUUUUUUCUUUUCAAGCUCUAACACAUCACAGCAAUGUAGAACAUCAAGCCUUGUUGUCAAAAGAAAUCAAUUCUUUCCGACUGCUCAGGUUUACGGGAUAUCAGUUCAGCGAAUAAAAUCUGUACCACCACACAGUCGGGUAACUCUUAACUUGUCUCAUCAAAUCCAAGCUGCUUUAUGAAAGAGGUAUUCCUUGUUAAAUAUUUAUAGCUUGCUAUUUAGACAGUAAGUAAAAGACAAAAAGCAAACUAAAACAUUCCACACAAAGCAACAGAGAAACUAAACUAAAACAAUGU